rnacentral:siRNA from 1 species
UACUUUAGUUUUGGGUUUAG